CGAGAUGAGUUCUCCCUGACCCUUUAAGGGUCCUGAAGGAACGUUGAAGACGACGACGUUGAUAGGCCGGGUGUGUAAGCGCAGCGAUGCGUUGAGCUAACCGGUACUAAUGAACCGUGAGGCUUAACCUU
rnacentral:rRNA from 1 species